AGGGUUGUGGCUCAGAGGCAGAGCACUUGCCUAGCAUGCAUGAGGCACUGGGUUCGAUCCUGGCACCACAU
rnacentral:tRNA from 1 species